GAGCGCCCGAGCGCCUUUUUAAAUCACUAGUUUUGCCAACAAUUAUAUUCAUAUGAGACCUGCCUAACCCCUUUAUUAUGGAGGAAAUAAUAAUUUGAAGAGACACCUCAUUUGGUUUUUUUUUCCUCUUUUCUAUGGUAGUGUAGUGCAACUUCAGAAUUGAAAAUUCUUGCACCAAGUCCUCAUUCUAAAGGCUGAUUGAAAACGCCCAACUUAACAGAACUUGUUGGUAGAAGAACAUGUUCAUAUUAAUCUACUAGGCCUCUAGACAAGUUCUCUUAUUAUAUAAUAAUAAAUACACAUAUGUAUAUAUAUGCACAUAUAUUUUGUUGAGACAGACAAGUCCACUUUAUAUUUCCAAGUACCGGUGCCAAUGAAUUUGUGUAGUAGAAUGUUUAUUUUCUGUAACCUCCUUUGUUUACAUCACUAUGUCAUAGCAGAGUCUGCAGUAGAAGGAUAUGCAUUUCACAACUAGAGCCUUGAUUUGGAGAAUCUGUUUUGGCAUGGAGAUGAGGAAACACACUAUGCCUUAGUGAGCUUCAGUAGACUGCAACUGGUCUUGGAAGUAUUACACUUUUGGAAUGUAAUGGUUAUCUAGAAGUUUGAAACUCGUAUUCCAUCUCAAGGUUCGCAAGACCACUGGAAGACCAAAGAUCUAGUCCAACAGAUAGGGAUAUCUGGAAUGAUACUUUAUGAGCACGACAAGUCAGUAGGAUCUUCAUCCGCUUUCUUUGGUUCUCAUGGUUCUGGAGAGAGCCAUUUUGAGCUAUUGAUAUGGUUCUGCGAGCUUGACGGUGUCUGUUAUAGCCCUGUAGAACAGGCUAAUGUGCAUGAACCCUGAGAUGGAGAGACCUGUUUUGGCAUCAGAGGAAGCUACUGCAGGAAGGUGGUGGUGCUGCUGCUUGGAAUUGGAUACCACAGCUUGCUUGUAUGAACAUGAGAAUCAAAAACUAAUCAAGAGAGGGACUGACAACAUCUAGGAAUUCCUGGUGGCUCAGCAUGCAUUCUGGCAUCACUGGAUGUCUUUGUUUCCCAACCUUUUGAGGGUUUAUUUAAUCACCUGUCUCUAUCGAGCCAUUAUCCAGGAAAGGGACGGCUCUUAUUGGUCGGCAGGAUGGAGAACCUCCUUCUGGAAUCGAUAUUGACAUUGCCAUGGAGAGGCCAGUCCACAGAUUCUUCAAGCCUCGUCUAUUCUGGGGAGGCAGAAUCAAAGAACAUUGCCCCAGAUGCAAGCAAUCAGGUCAAUCAUCCACUUGGCGGAAGUGGAGGCAUGUUCUUGAGCUGGAUUUUGCCUUUAGCAAAGCCAGGCACAAGAUCCAUGAUUGAUGGGCAAGAGUAUAAUACAAGACAACAGGAUCAUCCUCGCCUGAAUCAAUCAUGUCAUGCGUGUGAGACACUCGAGAGCCGGCCCACCAUGGAGCCUUCUCCUGCAUAUGGGAAGCUGGGGCUUCAGGGAACCAACGACAUGAAUCUUCGUCAGUUGACAGGUUCAAGGACCAAUUCCUGUCUCCUCAUCAACCAGCACUACUCAGGUGGAACUUUUCCAAGGAAACUUUGAUGUCAACCUGUAGAAGAAACAAAUGACGGCGUAUAUAAUGUAGCCUAUAGCAGCCUUUAGGCACUGCUUAUUGGAAGAUUUUAAUCUAUCCAUCGUUCUAGGAUUUGACCUUUGUCAAUUAUUAAUUCCGAUGCUUACUUCUUCA